rnacentral:tRNA from 1 species
UCAGGGCUGUAGUUUAAUUAAAAUAUGAGCAUUGGAAGCUUAAGAUUAGGUGACAGACCUAUGCCCUGAA